AGGUCUGCCAUGCCUAUUGACUCAGAUCAAGCAUAGUGUCUAUUCUUUUCAUUUAAUAUCUGAUUUGUUCUCCAUUUGAGAACUACAUAUUAAAUUGAUUUUUGGAACUGGAGGAUGGUCUGGGAGCUUAUUCAAUCCACUCCAAGCAUCACACUGGCACUGCAGUGCUUCUGGAAGCAGUGCACCUUUC